rnacentral:rRNA from 1 species
UACGAAGGGGGCUAGCGUUGCUCGGAAUCACUGGGCGUAAAGCGCACGUAGGCGGCUUUCUAAGUCAGGGGUGAAAUCCUGGAGCUCAACUCCAGAACUGCCUUUGAUACUGGGAAGCUCGAGUCCGGAAGAGGUGAGUGGAACUCCGAGUGUAGAGGUGAAAUUCGUAGAUAUUCGGAAGAACACCCGUGGCGAAGGCGGCUCUCUGGGACGGUACUGACGCUGAGACGCGAAAGCGUGGGGAGCGAACAGG